CGGGAGUCGAACCUGUGACGGCCCAGUGAUUAACUUUCUGCUUUUCUUAUUAUUUCAGAUCAUCAUAUCUGUGUUAUGUAAUUUUAUGAAUUGGAUUCCAAAUCCAGCAGCUGUGUGAUUUCUACCAAAGCUGAGAAGCUUUUGGUUCAGUCUGCCAGAUUAACACGUCUGGUUUCCUUAUUGAUGCUUGGACAUCUUUGCAUUUAUCGUUCAAACACAAGUAAUCCUGACCUUAAACAGAAAGUGAAACAAACUAUUCCUCUGAUUCUGUUCUUAUAUGUGCAACAAACCGCAGAGAGAACAUGCAGCUCUUGUUCUGAUCGUUCCUGUUUGUGUGAGAGAAAAACUGCAGAGAAGUUAAACUUCUGGUUAAACUGGAGCACAAGCAGCUUCACAUCACACAAUAUCAGAAAUACAGGCGAAUUUCCUCCUGGAAAGUUCAAAUGGUUUUUUACAACCCUGGAUUCAAAAUCCAACAUGUCUGCUGUAUGCAUGAAAUGAACCAAAUGUGCUAUUUAAAGAUAUUUUUUCCAACCCGGACAUUAAAUUCCAACAUGGCUGCCACGUUCACCAAACAUACUGAUAGCUGCAUUAACGACAGUUUGUCGUAAAAUCAGAACUUUCUGUUUGACUAACAUUAUUAGAAAAAGAUGUUUUGCCAUUGAAACUCUAUUGAAACUGAUAUUUAGUCAGCUUUAGUCAUCCAACAUGUUGAAUUCAUCCAUUUUCUUCCACCCUUUCACCCCAUUGGGGUCUGGAGGGAGCAGGUGUCUCUCCAGAGGUCAGCAGGCGAGAGGCGGGGUCACCUGGACAGGUGGCCAGUCCAUCGCAGAUUGAAUUCAGAUUUUUAUUCAUUCCCAACGUGGGCUUUAGCAGUGAAACUGGGGUUUCUUGUUCUUUCCUUAUUAUCAGCAGCAGGAGACACAAAAACCCUGCAGAGGUUUUCCUGCUGACAGCUUUUCACAUUCUGAGUUGACUUCCAGUUUUCCUCGGCUGAAUUUGGAUCAGAACAUUUUGUCUCUGAUCAGCAGCGGAGACAGAAGGAAGCAACCUGGGAUGGCUCAGUGACGACUCAUCCUUCCUGCUGGUCAUGAACAAUGGAGACAGGAAACAGAAACUGUGGCAACCAGUGAAAACACAGCGCUGGCCGCCACUUCCUCGGUUCUACCAGGACCGGGACCCUGGAGGGCCCGGAUGGGUCCGCCAGACUCAGACAGGACAUCCUGUCUUCAGACCAGGCUCAGCAGGAAGAGACGGGCGAAAUGAGACUGAAAUCACGUUGUUUUGGUUAAAAUGGUUUUCAGAUGUAACUUGUGGCUCCUUGUGCAGGAAGAGCUGAAAAAUAACCAACCGCCGCCCUCUAGUGGCAGCAGAGGGAAAUUACAGAAACUACACAGUGAAAACCAUCAAUCAGUCUUUGAAUGAAAACUGUCAGCAUAAAGUUUAUAUUCAUUUACUUGUAACAUUAUGUUUCAUAAACCAGACAAAGUUAUCAGCAGAGGAAGAAUCAUCAGAGUUACAGGUUAAAAUCCUCUGUAAAAAUGUUUCAGUGUAAAAGUUUUCUGGUUUAUAAUUUACAGUUAAAGCUGCAGAUUGCAAUAUCAUCAUGAAACAUG